GUUCUUUUAAAAGACGAUAAAACGAUAGGACAAAAGUUUUCAAUGUCUGGGAAAAUAAAUUUCACAAAUUUGACGAGAAAACAUGCGUAUUUGCUAAAAAUAAAUAAGCAAUGUGCGCUGUAUGAUAGAUUCCCCUUUAAAGAUAAGGAGAGACACGUGGCCGCUUCAUUGGAUACAGACAGUACAUGUAUGUAUAGUUCCUGUGAAGAUCGAUGUUGAGAAGGCCUCAGUUAAUUAACACACAAUCUCUGACCCCCACUGGAUCCGCCGUUAUGAUUUUCAGCGAUACAUGAAAAGAAGGACAACUCCAACUGAAAAGAAAUGCUUGACGUAUAAGGCUUGAAAUUUGAUCUUCAGCGUGAGAUGUCUUACCUCCGCGACAUGAAUAGGACAUCCCACAUCUGAUCCUCCCUGAAGUUUAAAUCCCCAUGGCUGGCUUGUAUCAAAUCUCCGCAGACCUAUAGGAACAAUCUGGUCACCCGACAUCUUGUUUACGAUUUCUUGGCAAUAUCCACUAUAACUUUCUUUUCCCCCUAUUGAAAGUUAUUUGUGCCUACGGAAAGUUUCUAUGGCAACUUAAGUUGUUGUAACAGAAAAUUAGUGUCUGUCUCUGUAGCGUAAAUACCUUACUCCCCGCCGGCAACACAUGCGAAUGGAAAGAUUAACUAAUGCGAUUUAUGUUUACAAAUUAUAGUUAUUCAUGGAAUGAAAAUGAUGUUUGAAAUAUUGGAAAUAAAUGAGGCAUGAAAAUGUGCAUAGCACUCAAUAUA